AAUAAAGAAACUAAUUCUCUAUGCAACAAACAAUGUGAAAGAGCACUUUAUAAUUAUUUUAUAGGCUUACUUCCUAAUAUUUCAUUCUGAAAGGCACCUAACAAGGCAGCUGUAUUAAACAUAUGAAAGAAAAAAUUAUAGCAACACUAAACUUUAUUGAUAUUACAAAGAAAAGUGUUUCCCAAUGUUCUCUCCAAAAAGUUGAAAGGACAAGCAAUGAGAAAUUGCAACUUUGAAAUUGGAUGGUCUAAUAGUAAUCACAAGCACUUAAUUUAUAAGCAAACAUAUAACAACAAUUGGUUUUUGCAGUGUUGGAACAGAACAAACAAUUUAGCCAACUUACUAAGAAUCAAAAAGUUCAUACAGUUAAAAGGCAUAGUCAAUUAGUGAUGAGACUAAAAAUCCACAUUUUCACAAGGUACUAAUUACUAAAAAUAGAUAUAUUUUUUUAGCUUUAAAAAAAAAAAGAACCUCA
rnacentral:misc_RNA from 1 species